GACGAACGCUGGCGGCGUGCUUAACACAUGCAAGUCGAACGGAUAGGGCCUGCUUGCGUGUGGUGCCAGAGUCGCGAACGGGUGAGUAACCUGUGAGUCACCUUCCCUGGACGUUGGGAUAACUUGAGACAACUGCUACUAAUACCUGCUACGUGCUCCUGCUGCUUGGUGGGGUUUGGACAGCUUCGGCGGUUGGGGAUGGACUCCCGGCUUAUCAGCUUGUGGGUGGGGUAGUGGCUAACCCAGGCUUUGACGGGUAGUCGGCCUGAGAGGUUAGACAGCCACAAUGGGACUGAGGGACGGACCAGACUCCAACAGGAGACAGCGGUCGAGAGUAUUACACAAUGGGCGGAAGCCUGAUGAAGAGAUGCCGCGUGUGGGAAGACCGCCAUGGGGUUGGGAACCGCAGUAACCUAGGACGUAGCUUGAUUGACGGUAAUAAGAGAAGAAGCACCGGCUAACUACGUG
rnacentral:rRNA from 1 species